CCUACGGGAGGCAGCAGUGGGGAAUAUUGGACAAUGGGCGAAAGCCUGAUCCAGCAAUGCCGCGUGAGUGAUGAAGGCCUUCGUGUCGUAAAGCUCUUUUACCAGGGAUGAUAAUGACAGUACCUGGAGAAUAAGCUCCGGCUAACUCCGUGCCAGCAGCCGCGGUAAUACGGAGGGAGCUAGCGUUGUUCGGAAUUUACUGGGCGUAAAGAGUACGUAGGCGGUUAUUCAAGUCAGAGGUGAAAGCCCCGGGGCUCAACCCCGGAACUGCCUUUGAAACUAGAUAACUAGAGUCUUGGAGAGGUUAGUGGAAUUCCGAGUGUAGAGGUGAAAAUUCGUAGAUAUUCGGAAGAACACCAGUGGNGAG
rnacentral:rRNA from 1 species